AGUGGCUUUAAGCUUAAAUGGGAUUAAUUCUUGUCCUUUGCUUUUCCUGCAGUAAUUUUAUUUGGAGCAGCCACACUAUGAAUAGCAAAAGGCAGGACAGGUAAAGCGCGAGGAUAGCAACAGCCAAGGGCCUGAACAUAGACGUCUUACGUCACAGUGUGAGAAAAUACCGCCUAUCGACCAGAAAUCUCAAAAUAUUAUAAGCUCCAAGAAACUAACCUCCACUCCUGACAGAGGAGAGCCAUGACUAACACACUGCCCCUCUCCAAAACAUGUGCAGUAGCUGACCGCUUCUUUUCACCUGCACAACAGAGGUUCAUCUGGGGAUCUGUAUCGUGUACACAGUCACUCGCCACUCUCCAUCAUCCCAUAUCUGUGUACAGAUACCACCGAUCAGCAAGCAGAGUUGUAACUGCAGCAGUUAUGAGGAAUCCCCUUCGCCAGUCAUUGUCUGUAUAGGUGCAUGGCCAGCUGGAAGAAACCAGAGCACCCGGAGGAAACCCACGCCGACGCUGGGAGAACAUGCAAACUCCACACAGAAAGGACCCGGACCGCCCCACCUGGGGAACGAACCUAGGACCUACUUGCUAAUCCACCAGGAAGAUUAACAAAAAAAAAUAUAGGGAGCAAAAACUAUACUUUAAAAAAAUAUAUAUAAAGUCAUCACUUCCCACAUCAGUCUAUAAGUUUGCUCAAAUGUGCCAAAUGUUAAAGUUUACUAGCUUUACAUGUAUAAUAAUGUAAGCUCUUUAUUCACAUGUAUAGUAUAUUGUGGUUUAUGCUAAAUGUAAAUAUCCUCCUAACAGUUUUGCAAUUGUUUUGCAAUUUCACAUGAUUUUACAGUGAAUUAUUGAAGGUACCAUAAGGAAGAUAAAGACUUUAUGUAAAAGGAAUGAAACUUAAAAAAAAAAAAACCACUGGACAUGCAGGUGCUUUCCUAACAGUGAGCUUGUGAUACUCAAUACAGGCUUUGUGAAGGUAAGGUUCCUGUGAAAGCAGAUAGGUCAGUGUACGCACAUCAAUAUUAAGAGAGGGAGAUCAGGGGGAUCCCAUUCUUGCCAGUCAGCUCGACGAGGACUUUUUAAAGAAACUCUACCCUGUAGUUUCUCAUGUUUCUCAUAUAAUGUAUUUAUUAUUACUACUAGUUUAGGUUAAAGUUGGGUAUGGUAUUAAUGUUCACACAUCUAUUUCUGACUUUCAUUGA